rnacentral:rRNA from 1 species
CCUGCUCAAUGAAUACUUAAAUAGCCGCUUAUAGUGCUAAGGUAGCAUAAUAAAUUGCUCCUUAAUUAAGAGAUUGAAUGAAAGGAAACACGAUUUAUUAACUGUAUCAAAAUAUAUAAAUAAAAUUAAAUACCAUGUAAAAAUUCAUCAUCUAUCAGCAAGACGACAAGACCCUAUCGAACUUUCCUACAUAGUUUUACUGGGAAGGUAAAAAACUAAAUCUUUCUUUUAUAUUAAAUAAACGCUACAAUUGAAUAAAAAUAAGUUACCGUAGGGAUAACAGCACAAUAAUUUAUAAAAGCCCCUAUAAAAUAAAUUGAUUAUGACCUCGAUGUUGAAUUAACAUUACUUUUUAUAGAAAAAUAUAAAAGUGUGAGUCUGUUCGACUCCUAAUUUGUUACAU